rnacentral:rRNA from 1 species
AGUGAACGCUGGCGGUAGGCCUAACACAUGCAAGUCGAACGGCAGCACAGUAAGAGCUUGCUCUUACGGGUGGCGAGUGGCGGACGGGUGAGGAAUACAUCGGAAUCUACUUUUUCGUGGGGGAUAACGUAGGGAAACUUACGCUAAUACCGCAUACGACCUACGGGUGAAAGCAGGGGAUCUUCGGACCUUGCGCGAUUGAAUGAGCCGAUGUCGGAUUAGCUAGUUGGCGGGGUAAAGGCUCACCAAGGCGACGAUCCGUAGCUGGUCUGAGAGGAUGAUCAGCCACACUGGAACUGAGACACGGUCCAGACUCCGACGGGAGGCAGCAGUGGGGAAUAUUGGAAAAUGGGCGCAAGCCUGAUCCAGCCAUACCGCGUGGGUGAAGAAGGCCUUCGGGUUGUAAAGCCCUUUUGUUGGGAAAGAAAAGCAGCAGGUUAAUACCCCGCUGUUCUGACGGUACCCAAAGAAUAAGCACCGGCUAACUUCGU